rnacentral:rRNA from 1 species
UUACUGAGUUUACGCUCUAUAACCCUUUGUGAACAUACCUAUAACUGUUGCUUCGGCGGGUAGGGUCUCCGCGACCCUCCCGGCCUCCCGCCUCCGGGCGGGUCGGCGCCCGCCGGAGGAUAACCAAACUCUGAUUUAACGACGUUUCUUCUGAGUGGUACAAGCAAAUAAUCAAAACUUUUAACAACGGAUCUCUUGGUUCUGGCAUCGAUGAAGAACGCAGCGAAAUGCGAUAAGUAAUGUGAAUUGCAGAAUUCAGUGAAUCAUCGAAUCUUUGAACGCACAUUGCGCCCGCCAGCAUUCUGGCGGGCAUGCCUGUUCGAGCGUCAUUUCAACCCUCAAGCUCUGCUUGGUGUUGGGGCCCUACAGCUGAUGUAGGCCCUCAAAGGUAGUGGCGGACCCUCCCGGAGCCUCCUUUGCGUAGUAACUUUACGUCUCGCACUGGGAUCCGGAGGGACUCUUGCCGUAAAACCCCCCAAUUUUCCAAAGGUUGACCUCGGAUCAGGUAGGAAUACCCGCUGAACUUAAGCAUAUCAAUAAGCGGAGGAAAAGAAACCAACAGGGAUUGCCUCAGUAACGGCGAGUGAAGCGGCAACAGCUCAAAUUUGAAAUCU